rnacentral:rRNA from 1 species
UUGCACCAGAAGUAACUUGUACCUGGUGGCGAGCGGCGGACGGGUGAGUAAUGCCUAGGAAUCUGCCUAGUAGUGGGGGAUAACGUCCGGAAAGGGCGCUAAUACCGCAUACGUCCUACGGGAGAAAGUGGGGGAUCUUCGGACCUCACGCUAUUAGAUGAGCCUAGGUCGGAUUAGCUAGUUGGUGAGGUAAUGGCUCACCAAGGCGACGAUCCGUAACUGGUCUGAGAGGAUGAUCAGUCACACUGGAACUGAGACACGGUCCAGACUCCUACGGGAGGCAGCAGUGGGGAAUAUUGGACAAUGGGCGAAAGCCUGAUCCAGCCAUGCCGCGUGUGUGAAGAAGGUCUUCGGAUUGUAAAGCACUUUAAGUUGGGAGGAAGGGCAGUUACCUAAUACGUGAUUGUUUUGACGUUACCGACAGAAUAAGCACCGGCUAACUCUGUGCCAGCAGCCGCGGUAAUACAGAGGGUGCAAGCGUUAAUCGGAAUUACUGGGCGUAAAGCGCGCGUAGGU